UACGUAGGGGGCAAGCGUUGUCCGGAUUUAUUGGGCGUAAAGAGCGUGUAGGCGGCCAGACAGGUCUGCUGUGAAAACUCGAGGCUCAACCUCGAGACGUCGGUUGAAACCGCUUGGCUAGAGUCCGGAAGAGGAGAGUGGAAUUCCCGGUGUAGCGGUGAAAUGCGCAGAUAUCGGGAAGAACACCCGUGGCGAAGGCGGCUCUCUGGGACGGUACUGACGCUGAGACGCGAAAGCGUGGGGAGCGAACAGG
rnacentral:rRNA from 1 species